rnacentral:lncRNA from 1 species
AUGUAAUGCAACAUGAUCAUAUUGAGCCAUCAAAAUAUUGACAAAAGCAAAAUAAUUAUUGUUAUCUUGCCUCUUUAGAGUUCUUGAUUACUUCACCUUUUAGCUUCAUAUGUAGUCAGAUGAUGGUUUGAAAUUUGGAUAUGAUCUUUGGUAGUCCUAUUAUGUUUUCUUCUGUGCUAAGCACUAUUGCACUCAUUGCAGACUACGAAAGGGCAGUUUCACUGUGAUGACUGUGGGAUCUGUAGGUUAGUGAGCAGAGUAUGAUUAUUCUUCUGUUUCUAGAUGACUUAUAAAUGUCUUCCAGUUAGCUAUAUCAAAUGUUGUUCUGAUCUGAAUUAUAAUAUUUCAAUCAGAGUUGGAGGUCGUGAUAAAUUCUUUCACUGCAAGAAGUGUGGUAUGAAUCACUACUUUUGUGUUUUACAUUUAAACUUAUCAUUUUGAUGAACUUAGUUGAUGUAUAUUUUUUUCAACAAUCUUGUCAAACAAUAGCAAUGCUAGUUCUUCCUUUCUUCUUCUUUUUCUUAUGUUCCUUAAUUUGUUUUCUGUAGAUCAGAAGGUUGCAAUCUUCUGUGUUUUGUUUUGCAUCUUAAUUAUUUCAUAUUUUUAUUAGCUUCCACCAUCCUUUAGUUUCUAGUUCCCUGGGAAUUGAAUUUUUAGGCAGUAAAUAAAGUUUAGGACACUGUAUAAACAGACAUGGUCUUAAAUUUUUUGCUUCUAUGUACAUUACCUUUAAGGCUUAGGUGGAAGUGAUAAUCUUCUUGAGUCUUGUUUCUUAUGUGAAAUCUUAAAUAUGGAAGCAUACCAAUGAUGGUUGUUGAUUCAACCAAUUGCGAGUGGAUGGGUAAUUUUUCUGUAGAUGAAUCGAUACUGCUGAUCAAUGUGUGAUAUAGGCAUACUUCAUUAUUCCCACGUUUCUAAAUUUUUUUAGGCAUCUUACCUCCCAUAUGGUCUUCAUGCAUGAAUGAUUCCUGUUGGAGCUGGCCACCACUCAGAAGGAAAGGCUCCAACCACAAGAAACAAUCUCAAUUCUACCAUAUAUGUCUAAAAUGCCAGUUCUAUUUUAUCAUCUUCCUUUUUUAUGCUAUUCUAUUUUUGUAAUUGGUAUACCAUGUUUUUCGUACUUACUUUCUAAAGAAAUUCGGUCAUGUUGCUGUUUUAAAUUCUCACUUGAAACCCUUUUUGUUAUGACAUACAGUUGCUAUUUCCAGGAAAAUUACCUCAUGGAUUUGUUCAGACCUGCCUUUAUCCUAGAACUGAUAAUGGAUUUACCCUUUCUCCAAUGCCAACUUUGGGCAUAAUAGCUCUCUAUCUUCUUAUGUACUCUCUUGUAAAGGACCUUAUUGCAUUAGAGUUUUCAUCCUUGUGAUGGAAAAUGUUUGGGGUAAGUCAUUGCUUGAAGACACUGAAUAGGUUAUUGUUGUGGCUACAACAAUGAUAUGUAUGAUAUGUUAUUUUCUAUACUUUGCUUCUUCAUUUAGCUAGUUGGUGGGUUUGGAGCUGUUUUUUGUCAUGUUCAGGAUUGUAGCUCUUGUUCUUCUCUUGAUUUUUCUCAACUCUAGGCAAUUUGUAUCUUAAUGAUGCUGAAUUGUGCUUUGUUCUACUGACCUGACGCUUUUUUCUUCAUUCCCAAAUUCAUUAUUGCUUUGGUAUUUCUUGUUGAUUUGUCAUCCACCUAAUACUUUGGUCUACUUACCCAAUACUUCCUUUAUUCAUUCCCAAAGUAUCUUUUCAAACUCAUUAUUGUUUUGGUAUUUCUUGUUCAUUUGUCAUCCAUCUAAUUCUACUGGAAUAAUCAUUUGCGUCAUACCCGUGUGAGGAGUCUCCUCCUAAUAUAUUAUUCCAUUAUGAGGCAAGAGUUGAUUGGAUAUUUUAGAAGAUUUAUUAUGUUUAAGGUCAUUUUUUUAACCAGUCCUUGUGUUUUCUUCAAGAUGAAAUAUAACCUGAUAAUUAAUGGGACUACAAACUAUGGAACCAACCACUGCCAAUUCUGACUGUUAAAAGAGAGUGUGUGUGCG